AAAGAAGAAAGAAAGAACAACGGCAAACUCUCGAAAGAAAAGAAAGAGGGUGUUGUGCGGUUGUGUUGUUGUUGUUGUUUGUUGUUUGUUGUUGUUGUUUGUUGUUGUUGUUCUCU
rnacentral:ribozyme from 14 species